CCUUUUCUGUUCUCUCCCUCCAUCUUUUUCUGGUUUUUUUACCUUCUCCCCUGUCUUGGGCUUUUGGUGGAGCUGGUCUUCUUUCGGUUUGAGCAUGUUUGGCUGUGUCUGUGGCUCUCUUUGAUAGUUGGGUGCUUCUCCCUCUGUGGUGUCUGCUUGUGCCUUAUACUAUGUGCUGAGAUUAAAUGUCUGAUGCCAAUUUUGUGUCCUUGGUUCUCCACCAAACAACCCCUUCAACCAGAUUUAUUUCUUCCUCAACUUCUCAUCCUCUUUUUGCCUUAUCCUCUUUCUGGAUCUGGAAUCUCCUUUGGGAUACAACAACCAUAUCUAUAAGCGCUUUGUCGCUCAUUUCUCGGAUUGUAUUUAGAGCUUUUGCUACGGUUCUUGCUCUGGUGCUUGCACCAAUAUUCUCCAUUCUCUUGGUUUCGGUGUUUUGAUAUAUACCUUGGUGUUGUGAUUGGUUGUUGUUUUCUCUCAGGUGCAUUGGCAGAUUUAGGUGUGAUGGAGAAGGUGACUUUUGGAGGAAGGUUCGAGGGCUGAUGUGUUUCCAAUUUUUGGGGAAUAUCUAUUUUUGGUGGAAGAUCAGUGGGUCUCUAUGUGCAGCAAUGCUGGCCUGUGUGGUGGUGGUGUAUCCCGUCCUUGUUUUAGUUUAAUCUUCUCUAUUUGUGGCAUUUCGAUCCUUUAACUGGCCUUUUUGGCCUUUGUAUUCUCUAUUUGUUUCUUCCCCAUU
rnacentral:lncRNA from 1 species